GCGUGAUUAUCGAUUCUCAACGAAUAGCAGCAAAAAGCUUUCCUACUUGCUCGACUACCAAUGAAAAGCACAGCCUGUACGCCCAAGAAUACAUCUACACAAAGAAUGCGAUGGGUAUAUCCUGCAAUUCUGCCGCCAAAUCACAACAAUGGAAACGAUUGUAUUUUAAUGGAUAUUUCAAUGAAAAUGUAUGCAAAAAGAAAAAUCCGGUGAGGAUGCACUCUAGGUUUUCCUGCUGAAAAUGCAAUAUAUCCAUAUUUUUUAUUUUUUGGUCAAUAAAUUUAUGACGCAUAUUUCACACCCAUCGCUCAAUAGGCAGAAUUUUAAAAUUUCUGCUUUUAAAUGAGAAAUAUAUUGGAAUAUUUAUAUUUUCAUUAAGCGUAAAUGGUUGCAUUUUAAGAUGAAAUUAUGACUUCCGAAAUAGGAAAAAAAUGUUAGCUGAUCACUACUUAGAGAAGUGUCCGUUGCAACCCUGAUGAUAUAAAACUAAGAUGCUAAAUUUUGAAGUUUCAUUGAGAUAUGUAUUGGAAAAAAUGAUUCUUGAAUUCUUGAAACAAUAUGGAUUGGACUUUAUUCCAAUAUCGUAAAGCAAAACAGCGAAUCUACACACUUUAUCAUAUUCAUUGUUUGAUUUUAUGAAAUUGAAAAACGAAGAUUACGAAAAUCAAGGAAAUCUCUUCAUUUUUCCAAUUUCAAGGUGGCGCUACACAGCUUAUGAAGACAGAAGUACACGAAGAUAUGCAUUUGAAAAGGGAUUGAAGUUAUUUGUCAAAUUCCAGAUUUAUCUUUGUCUUCAAUAUUCUUUUGUACCUUAAUUUACUAAGCAUUUAAUAAAGCGUAUAUUAA